AUGAAUGUGAUGUGUUUGUCCCAGCCCGAGGCAGUGAGGAUGACACUUCUGGGAUGUCUGAUGACCCUCACACACCUGGAUGAUGUGCUUGUGACAGAGGGUUCUUUCCAGGCUUUGGGAAACUUAAUCAUUCUGGAUCUGUACAGGAAUCCUUCAGUGGAGAAACUGGAAAACUAUGGGAAAUAUGUGGUGUUCCACUUCCCCUCUCUAAAGGCACUGGAUGGGACUGCAGUGAUAUGUUUACAUCAUAAUCAAAGCAGUUCUGAAUCUGUUUGUUGAAUUGAGAGAAACAGAAGUGAUGAGUCAUUGAGAUCUAUAGAAAAUGGCGGCUUGUGAGAUUGCCAAGGAUGUGUUUGGUGGAUGCCUGACCCCUGACAUGGUGGCGGAGAAACUGGGACACUAACUAUUCUGACAUCGCCGAUCUCAACCUGCAAUCCUGUGCAAUCAGGUUACUUACCAUACUGUACUGGGUAGUACUACAUCACAGUAUUUGUCACCUUUAGAAGAGAGAUUAAAACAGAGUGCGUGUGGAUAAAGUGUUCCCUCUCUCCCCAGGAUGGUGGAUCUGACACCAGAAGACCUGUUCUUCAACCUGCACAGUGUCAACCUAGAGCACAACAACCUCACCUCCUUCAGUGGCCGUGUCUGCCUGACCAACAUCAAGGUGUGCCAACCGGCCAGACUAACCAAUGUGGUGUUUUGUUUCCUCCCACAAGCUUGUCUGACUCUUCUAUCUAUGAUAUUUGUCAAAUAUUUUGAUUCUCACUUUGUCAGUUGCACAGUUGGGUUAAACAAUUAACAAUAACUUUUUUCUUCCAUGUAGGCACUGUGUUUAAACAAUAACCACAGAGUCCAUCCUGCCUAGGCAGAAGGCCCAGGCCCACCUGACUAACAGACAAGGUGAAUUCCAUUGGUUACGGCUAGCAGGGCUCCUCAAAGGCAGUAGGUACCAGCACUACAGAUGAAAGUCUAUUAUUUGAACAUAACAUUUAAAUGUAUUACCUUUUAAACACAGUUUGUGAUCUGGAAAUAAACGAUUCAUGAAAAGCUUUAACCAUUUAUGUUUUCUCAGUACAGUGGUGACCCAUCAUUUAGGGGUUUGCUACAAAAACGAAAAAGAUUGAACCUGUUUUGCAUGUUAUUUUGACAUUAAUACAUGUCACAUAUCAGUUUGCAAACAAUGUAAAAAAAAAUCAUUAAUAAAGCCGCAUACAAACUUGGUCUCUUUUUUUGCUUUCUUGAGCAAGGCAGCUCCAAAAUGCAG
rnacentral:lncRNA from 1 species